AUUGAACGCUGGCGGCAGGCCUAACACAUGCAAGUCGAGCGGAUGAAGGGAGCUUGCUCCUGGAUUCAGCGGCGGACGGGUGAGUAAUGCCUAGGAAUCUGCCUGGUAGUGGGGGAUAACGUCCGGAAACGGGCGCUAAUACCGCAUACGUCCUGCGGGAGAAAGUGGGGGAGCUUCGGACCUCACGCUCUCAGAUGAGCCUAGGUCGGAUUAGCUAGUUGGUGGGGUAAGGGCCUACCAAGGCGACGAUCCGUAACUGGUCUGAGAGGAUGAUCAGUCACACUGGAACUGAGACACGGUCCAGACUCCUACGGGAGGCAGCAGUGGGGAAUAUUGGACAAUGGGCGAAAGCCUGAUCCAGCCAUGCCGCGUGUGUGAAGAAGGUCUUCGGAUUGUAAAGCACUUUAAGUUGGGAGGAAGGGCAGUAAGUUAAUACCUUGCUGUUUUGACGUUACCAACAGAAUAAGCACCGGCUAACUUCGUG
rnacentral:rRNA from 1 species